UCAGCAGUCUGAGCUACAAAGAUGGGAUCUUGGCUGCAAAUGAAUGUAUGACUGAUACUGAAUCCCAGCAGCCAACAAACAUGCAGCUUCACAACCAGAACGUGUCCUUCUGCCACAGCAAAUACAGGAAGUACCUGAUCACAUGGAAACACCUUUGAUAUGAGGAAGUGUUGAAGCCUCAGAGCAGCUUUGACUGAAUGUAAAAAGACAUAUUUUCAGUGAGAACAGGCACAUGUCACAUGAGUCAGAAUCUAUUCUUUCAAAGCAUAUAGAUAACAUCUCUGACUACAGGUGUAGAAAUGCUGUUUGACUCUUCACCUUCUUCCUCCACACUGAAGCACAAUUAUUCUGAAUCUUGUCAGUGGUUUUUGUUCACAGUUGAUACGUAUUUAGCUCAUCAGAUUUCCUGUAGUUCUAACACCUCCACCCACAGGACAUGUUAAAGAGCAAUGGCUGCAAGUUUCUGACUCUUAUUGAUAUUUGACAAAGCAGAGGAAGAAGAUUAUUUCUGUUCAACGUUUCACUCAUUUUAUUUUAUUUUAUUUUAUUUUGGUUUCACUGAAAUAUUUCAGAUGCUUUGAACAAGAGUGAAUUCAACAAACUUCACUUCAAACACAAUAAACUGAACCACAGUUACAACGAGCUACAGACUGAACAUCAAGAAACAAAACGACUCAACAGUCAGUUACAGGAAGAAGUGAAGAAGCUGAAGGAGAAGAUAGAAGAGAAGUGUCCUGAUCGAUGGAUGAGAUUUGGAAGCAGCUGUUACUUUAAAUCCACUGAGAGUGAAACUUGGCCUGAGAGCAGGAGAGCCUGUCAGGAUAAAGGAGCUGAUCUGGUGAUGAUAAACAGCAAAGAGGAACAGGAAUUUGUCAGUAAUUUCAGAGGAUUCUCUUGGAUUGGUCUGAGAUCCAAACAGACAUCAGGAGGAUAUGAAUGGGAAUGGGUGGACGGAUCAGCGCUGACAGAAAGGUGAGACAUUAGUUUGUUUCUAUUCCAGAGUUAUUAUUUAGAAGUGAAACAUGGAUGUUUUGGAAGAUAGAUCAGCAAUACAUGAGUUGAGCUAUUUUCCAACAGCCCCACAAACUGAAUGUAAAGAAAAGCAGAAAUCCUCCUUUGAAUGAACAGCUGUGCUUGAACUCUCUUCAUCUGCAGUCUGUGAUGACGUUCAGUUACAACAAGUCAGUUUGAAGGAAUCAGGAUUGAAACAUGUUCAAAGCAGCGACCGACACAUUUCACUUUGUUCAAUUUGUCUUCAUGUUUUUGUGCUGUAAUGUUUCUUUUCUCACAGAACAAAAAGUGUUUCAGAGAAUUCCUGUCUCUUCUUCUUUGGUGUUUGUAAAACUUCAGAACAUAUGAAGGAAGAAGCUUCAGUAAAUAUGACCUGAUAGACACACAUUUCAAAGUGAUGUCUGUAAACAGCUGACAAAACAGUUUCAAACAGCAGAAAGUCAGCUCUGACUUCUUUUUAUUCUCCAUUUUUACAGCAGGAAGAUUUCAUAUUCAUCAAAGCUUGAAAGCUGUUUUAGUGUGCAUGAUGAUUCUCAGAGAAAAGUCUAAAGGAGGGAAAGUGGGCGAGAAACCUGGGAAAGAAAUACAGCAAAUAUUGGAAAUAUUCCAAAAGAGACGCAUAUUUAUAUGAAUGUGACAAUAGUUAUGA